rnacentral:rRNA from 1 species
AUUGAACGCUGGCGGCAUGCCUUACACAUGCAAGUCGAACGGUGACAGGUUAAGCUGACGAGUGGCGAACGGGUGAGUAAUAUAUCGGAACGUGCCCAGUCGUGGGGGAUAACGUAGCGAAAGCUACGCUAAUACCGCAUACGAUCUACGGAUGAAAGCGGGGGAUCGCAAGACCUCGCGCGAUUGGAGCGGCCGAUAUCAGAUUAGGUUGUUGGUGAGGUAAAAGCUCACCAAGCCUGCGAUCUGUAGCUGGUCUGAGAGGACGACCAGCCACACUGGAACUGAGACACGGUCCAGACUCCUACGGGAGGCAGCAGUGGGGAAUUUUGGACAAUGGACGCAAGUCUGAUCCAGCAAUGCCGCGUGCAGGACGAAGGCCUUCGGGUUGUAAACUGCUUUUGUACGGAACGAAACGGUGAGCUCUAAUACAGUUUGCUAAUGACGGUACCGUAAGAAUAAGCACCGGCUAACUACGUGCCAGCAGCCGCCGUAA